rnacentral:rRNA from 1 species
UCUACGGGGGGCUGCAGUGGGGAAUAUUGGACAAUGGGCGAAAGCCUGAUCCAGCCAUGCCGCGUGUGUGAAGAAGGCCUUCGGGUUGUAAAGCACUUUCAGUGGGGAAGAAAGCCUUGGGGCUAAUACCCUCGAGGAAGGACAUCACCCACAGAAGAAGCACCGGCUAACUCCGUGCCAGCAGCCGCGGUAAUACGGAGGGUGCGAGCGUUAAUCGGAAUUACUGGGCGUAAAGCGCGCGUAGGCGGUCUGAUAAGCCGGUUGUGAAAGCCCCGGGCUCAACCUGGGAACGGCAUCCGGAACUGUCAGGCUAGAGUGCAGGAGAGGAAGGUAGAAUUCCCGGUGUAGCGGUGAAAUGCGUAGAGAUCGGGAGGAAUACCAGUGGCGAAGGCGGCCUUCUGGACUGACACUGACGCUGAGGUGCGAAAGCGUGGGUAGCAAACAGGAUUAGAUACCCGGGUAGUC